GACGAACGCUGGCGGCGUGCUUAACACAUGCAAGUCGAGCGGAAAGGCCCUUCGGGGUCCUCGAGCGGCGAACGGGUGAGUAACACGUGAGUAACCUGCCCCAGACUUUGGGAUAACCCUCGGAAACGGGGGCUAAUACCGGGUACGACACAGCUUCGCAUGGGGUCUGUGUGGAAAGUUUUUCGGUUUGGGAUGGGCUCGCGGCCUAUCAGCUUGUUGGUGGGGUGAUGGCCUACCAAGGCGACGACGGGUAGCCGGCCUGAGAGGGCGACCGGCCACACUGGGACUGAGACACGGCCCAGACUCCUACGGGAGGCAGCAGUGGGGAAUAUUGCACAAUGGGCGGAAGCCUGAUGCAGCGACGCCGCGUGAGGGAUGACGGCCUUCGGGUUGUAAACCUCUUUCAGCAGGGACGAAGCGUAAGUGACGGUACCUGCAGAAGAAGCGCCGGCCAACUACGUG
rnacentral:rRNA from 1 species